GAUGAAGAACGUAGCGAAAUGCGAUACUUGGUGUGAAUUGCAGAAUCCCGUGAACCAUCGAGUCUUUGAACGCAAGUUGCGCCCGAAGCCAUCAGGUUGAGGGCACGUCUGCCUGGGCGUCACAUAUCGUUGCCCAAUGCCUAUUGCAGUGCAAUAGGAAUUUCUAGGGCGAAUGAUGGCUUCCCGUGAGCGUUGUUGCCUCGCGGUUGGUUGAAAAUCGAGUCCUUGGUAGGGUGUGCCAUGGUAGAUGGUGGUCGAGUUAGAACGAUACCGAUCAUGUGCAUGCUCCCCAAAAUAUGGCCUCUAUGACCCACACGCGUCUUUCGACGCUCAUGACGAGACCUCAGGUCAGGCGGGGCUACCCGCUGAAUUUAAGCAUAUCAAUAAGCGGAGGA
rnacentral:misc_RNA from 1 species